GACGAACGCUGGCGGCGUGCCUAACACAUGCAAGUCGAACGGGACCGGGGGCAACUUCGGUUCAGUGGCGGACGGGUGCGUAACACGUGAGGAACAUAACCUUCGGCGGGGGAUAGCCGGCCCAACGGCCGGGUAAUACCGCGUACGACCCUUCGGGGACAUCCCUGGAUGGUGAAAGCAGCAAUGCGCCGAUGGAGUGCCCCGCGGCCUAUCAGCUAGUUGGUGGGGUAACGGCCUACCAAGGCGACGACGGGUAGCUGGUCUGAGAGGAUGGCCAGCCACAUUGGGACUGAGACACGGCCCAGACUCCUACGGGAGGCAGCAGUGGGGAAUAUUGCGCAAUGGACGAAAGUCUGACGCAGCGACGCCGCGUGUGGGAUGAAGGUCUUCGGAUUGUAAACCACUGUCGGGAGGGACGAAUACGCCGCAAGGCGGGUGACGGUACCUCCAAAGGAAGCACCGGCUAACUCCGUGCCAGCCGCCGCCGUAAAAC
rnacentral:rRNA from 1 species